GGAUACUGGAGUGAUGGAGGUAGAUAUGUAUAGGGGGAAGGGAUUAGGGAUACUGGAGUGAUGGAGGUAGAUAUGUAUAGGGGACAGGGAUACUGGAGUGAUGGAGGUAGAUAUGUAUAGGGGGAAGGAGACAGGGAUACUGGAGUGAUGGAGGUAGAUAUGUAUAGGGGACAGGGAUACUGGAGUGAUGGAGGUAGAUAUGUGUAGGGGGAAGGAGACAGGGAUACUGGAGUGAUGGAGGUAGAUAUGUAUAGGGGGAAGGGGACAGGGAUACUGGAGUGAUGGAGGUAGAUAUGUAUAGGGGACAGGGAUACUGGAGUGAUGGAGGUAGAUAUGUAUAGGGGACAGGGAUACUGGAGUGAUGGAGGUAGAUAUGUAUAGGGGUAAGGUGACUAUAU
rnacentral:lncRNA from 1 species